GAAUGGGGAAACCCAACUGCAUAAGCAGUUACUGUUAACUGAAUACAUAGGUUAACAGAGCAAACCGGGGGAACUGAAACAUCUAAGUACCCCGAGGAGAGGAAAUCAACCGAGAUUCCGGUAGUAGCGGCGAGCGAACCUGGAUUAGCCCUUAAGCACUCGGUGAAGUAGGUGAACAAGCUGGAAAGCUUGGCGAUACAGGGUGAUAGCCCCGUAACCGACGCUUCAUCGAGCGUGAAAUCGAGUAGGGCGGGACACGUGAUAUCCUGUCUGAAUAUGGGGGGACCAUCCUCCAAGGCUAAAUACUCCUGACUGACCGAUAGUGAACCAGUACCGUGAGGGAAAGGCGAAAAGAACCCCUGUGAGGGGAGUGAAAUAGAACCUGAAACCGUGUACGUACAAGCAGUAGGAGCACCUUCGUGGUGUGACUGCGUACCUUUUGUAUAAUGGGUCAGCGACUUAUAUUCAGUGGCAAGGUUAACCGUAUAGGGGAGCCGUAGCGAAAGCGAGUCUUAACUGGGCGCUCAGUCUCUGGAUAUAGACCCGAAACCGGGUGAUCUAGCCAUGGGCAGGUUGAAGGUUGAGUAACAUCAACUGGAGGACCGAACCGACUAAUGUUGAAAAAUUAGCGGAUGACUUGUGGCUAGGGGUGAAAGGCCAAUCAAACUCGGAGAUAGCUGGUUCUCCCCGAAAGCUAUUUAGGUAGCGCCUCGGACGAAUACUACUGGGGGUAGAGCACUGUUAAGGCUAGGGGGUCAUCCCGACUUACCAACCCUUUGCAAACUCCGAAUACCAGUAAGUACUAUCCGGGAGACACACGGCGGGUGCUAACGUCCGUCGUGGAGAGGGAAACAACCCAGACCGCCAGCUAAGGUCCCAAAGUAUUGCUAAGUGGGAAACGAUGUGGGAAGGCUCAGACAGCUAGGAUGUUGGCUUAGAAGCAGCCAUCAUUUAAAGAAAGCGUAAUAGCUCACUAGUCGAGUCGGCCUGCGCGGAAGAUGUAACGGGGCUAAGCA
rnacentral:rRNA from 1 species